ensembl:rRNA 5S_rRNA 5S ribosomal RNA
CUAAGUGACCAUAUCACCCUGCAGCUCAAGACUGGUUGCCCACUGAAGCUAAGCAGGGCUGAGCCUUGUCAGUACCUGGAUGGGAGAUCUCCUGGGAAAAACUAGGUUGCUGCUGGAA